rnacentral:rRNA from 1 species
UAAAGUUUGAUCCUGGCUCAGGAUGAACGCUAGCUACAGGCUUAACACAUGCAAGUCGAGGGGCAGCGGGUUGAAAGCUUGCUUUCAAUGCCGGCGACCGGCGCACGGGUGAGUAACGCGUAUCCAACCUUCCCAUUACUGUGGGAUAACCUGCCGAAAGGCAGACUAAUACCGCAUAGUCUUCGAUGACGGCAUCAGAUUUGAAGUAAAGAUUUAUCGGUAAUGGAUGGGGAUGCGUCUGAUUUAGCUUGUUGGCGGGGUAACGGCCCACCAAGGCAACGAUCAGUAGGGGUUCUGAGAGGAAGGUCCCCCACAUUGGAACUGAGACACGGUCCAAACUCCUACGGGAGGCAGCAGUGAGGAAUAUUGGUCAAUGGACGGAAGUCUGAACCAGCCAAGUAGCGUGCAGGAUGACGGCCCUAUGGGUUGUAAACUGCUUUUGUAUGGGGAUAAAGUUAGGGACGUGUCCCUAUUUGCAGGUACCAUACGAAUAAGGACCGGCUAAUUCCGUGCCAGCAGCCGCGGUAAUACGGAAGGUCCAGGCGUUAUCCGGAUUUAUUGGGUUUAAAGGGAGCGUAGGCUGGAGAUUAAGUGUGUUGUGAAAUGUAGACGCUCAACGUCUGAAUUGCAGCGCAUACUGGUUUCCUUGAGUACGCACAACGUUGGCGGAAUUCGUCGUGUAGCGGUGAAAUGCUUAGAUAUGACGAAGAACUCCGAUUGCGAAGGCAGCUGACGGGAGCGCAACUGACGCUUAAGCUCGAAGGUGCGGGUAUCAAACAGGAUUAGAUACCCUGGUAGUCCGCACAGUA